UUACAUACCUGGACGGAGUCUUUGGGUGAUCAAGGAAGCCCAUGACUUAGACUGAUGACUUCCAUUGCACUAAAAAGGAAGGGAAUUGGUCUAAGGUCUACCCAACGUUGGUAGUACCUACGUCGUAAUUUGUGGUAGUGAGGGUGCUGCGUCCGCGCGGAUCCCUC
rnacentral:snRNA from 1 species